UACGUAGGCGGUUUUAUUAGUUAGGUGUGAAAUCCCAGGGCUCAACCUUGGAACUGCACUUAAUACUGUAAGACUUGAGUUUGAAAGAGGAAAGCGGAAUUCCUAGUGUAGAGGUGAUAUUCGUAGAUAUUAGGAGGAACAUCAGAGGCGAAGGCGGCUUUCUGGUUCAAAACUGACGCUGAGGUACGAAAGCGUGGGGAGCAAACA
rnacentral:rRNA from 1 species